rnacentral:sRNA from 1 species
UUUUAGCCCAGAUGGAAACGGCAUCCUUUUAUGCCGGGGUUCGGCAUAAAAGAUACAGUGAACAGCUGGAUAUAGC